rnacentral:rRNA from 1 species
CUUAAAUGAAUUGACGGGACCCGCACAAGCGGUGGAUGAUGUGGUUAAUUCGAUGCAACGCGAAAACCUUACCCACCUUUGACAUGUACGGAAUCCUCUAGAGAUAGAGGAGUGCUCGAAAGAGAGCCGUAACACAGGUGCUGCAUGGCUGUCGUCAGCUCGUGUCGUGAGAUGUUGGGUUAAGUCCCGCAACGAGCGCAACCCUUGUCAUUAGUUGCUACGAAAGGGCACUCUAAUGAGACUGCCGGUGACAAACCGGAGGAAGGUGGGGAUGACGUCAAGUCCUCAUGGCCCUUAUAGGUGGGGCUACACACGUCAUACAAUGGCUGGUACAAAGGGUUGCCAACCCGCGAGGGGGAGCCAAUCCCAUAAAGCCAGUCGUAGUCCGGAUCGCAGUCUGCAACUCGACUGCGUGAAGUCGGAAUCGCUAGUAAUCGUGGAUCAGCAUGUCACGGUGAAUACGUUCCCGGGUCUU